GAUGAAGAACGCAGCGAAAUGCGAUAAGUAAUGUGAAUUGCAGAAUUCAGUGAAUCAUCGAAUCUUUGAACGCACAUUGCGCCCGCCAGUAUUCUGGCGGGCAUGCCUGUUCGAGCGUCAUUUCAACCAUCAAGCCCCCGGCUCGUGUUGGGGACCUGCGGCUGCCGCAGGCCCUGAAAACCAGUGGCGGGCUCGCUAGUCACUCCGAGCGUAGUAAUACAUCUCGCUCAGGGCGUGCUGCGGGUUCCGGCCGUUAAAAAGCCUUAUUUACCCAAGGUUGACCUCGGAUCAGGUAGGAAGACCCGCUGAACUUAAGCAUAUCAAUAAGCGGAGGA
rnacentral:misc_RNA from 1 species